CCUACGGGAGGCAGCAGUGAGGAAUAUUGGUCAAUGGGCGCGAGCCUGAACCAGCCAAGUAGCGUGAAGGAUGAAUGCCCUACGGGUUGUAAACUUCUUUUAUAAAGGAAUAAAGUGAGGCACGUGUGCCUUUUUGUAUGUACUUUAUGAAGAAGGAUAGGAUAAUUCCGUGCCAGCAGCGGCGGUAAUACGGAGGAUCCGAGCGUUAUCCGGAUUUAUUGGGUUUAAAGGGUGCGUAGAUGGGUUGUUAAGUCAGUUGUGAAAGUUUGCGGCUCAACCGUAAAAUUGCAAUUGAUACUGGCAGCCUUGAGUACAGUUGAGGUAGGCGGAAUUCGUGGUGUAGCGGUGAAAUGCUUAGAUAUCACGAAGAACUCCGAUUGCGAAGGCAGCCUACUAAACUUCCACUGACAUUGAUGCUCGAAAGUGUGGGUAUCAAACAGGAUUAGAUACCCGGGUAGUC
rnacentral:rRNA from 1 species